rnacentral:rRNA from 1 species
UACGUAGGGGGCAAGCGUUGUCCGGAUUCAUUGGGCGUAAAGAGCGUGUAGGCGGCCAGGUAGGUCCGAUGUGAAAACUGGAGGCUCAACCUCCAGCUGUCAUUGGAAACCCUCUGGCUAGAGUCCGGAAGAGGGAGAGUGAAUUCCUGGUGUAGCGGUGAAAUGCGCAGAUAUCAGGAAGAACACCUAUGGCGAAGGCAGCUCUCUGGGACGGUACUGACGCUGAGACGCGAAAGCGUGGGGAGCGAACAGG